CUGUUCAUGUGACGUCAUUAACGGCAGCAUCCGGGAACCCUUCACCUCCAUCCAGGUAGUUUCAUUCCACUAUUCACGAGAAACAACCAGGAAUGACGAAUCAGAGGAUCUCAGGGAGCGAGAAGGGACCCAAGGCACUAAAAGAUGGAGGUUGGCACGCCACCAGUUUGGGGAAGCAGACAUGAGAACCAGCAUGGAAGCUCAGCAAUGCACUGCUGUGGACGAAGGCAGCAUCAAAACCUGUUUUAAAAAUCAAAAAAAAAAAAUUAGUAGAAUAUUUUCAUGGCUUUACCUUGCAGUCAGAAAGCCCUUUCUGCCAGAAACUGGAGCUUUUAUAUCGAUCUAUGCUCUCUUCAAAGCCACCACACUUCACUGACAAAGAGCAUCUGGUCCACCGCUGCCUCGGUCGAUUAGUUUGUUUGUGGAUUGAGGCAACUCCCGUGUUCUUUGUCAAUUAAGUCUGGUGGCUUUGAAGAGAGCAACAUAA